rnacentral:piRNA from 1 species
UGCCUUGUCCAUCAGCUUGAUAACACAC